rnacentral:rRNA from 1 species
GAUGAACGCUAGCGGCAGGCUUAACACAUGCAAGUCGAGGGGUAGAGGAAGCUUGCUUCCUUGAGACCGGCGCACGGGUGCGUAACGCGUAUGCAACCUACCUUUUACAGAGGGAUAGCCCAGAGAAAUUUGGAUUAAUACCUCAUGGUAUAUAUCAUUCGCAUGUUUGAUAUAUUAAAGUUCCAACGGUAAAAGAUGGGCAUGCGUCCUAUUAGCUAGAUGGUAAGGUAACGGCUUACCAUGGCAACGAUAGGUAGGGGUCCUGAGAGGGAGAUCCCCCACACUGGUACUGAGACUCGGACCAGACUCCUACGGGCGGCAGCAGUGAGGAAUAUUGGACGAUGGGCGCAAGCCUGAUCCAGCCAUGCCGCGUGCAGGAAGAAGCAUCUAUGGUGUGUAAACUGCUUUUGUACGGGAAGAAACACUCCUUCGUGAAGGAGCUUGACGGUACCGUAAGAAUAAGGAUCGGCUAACUCCGUGCCAGCAGCCGCCGCCGUAA